UACGGAGGGAGCUAGCGUUGUUCGGAAUUACUGGGCGUAAAGCGCACGUAGGCGGCUAUUCAAGUCGGGGGUGAAAGCCCGGGGCUCAACCCCGGAACUGCCCUCGAAACUAGGUAGCUAGAAUCUUGGAGAGGUCAGUGGAAUUCCGAGUGUAGAGGUGAAAUUCGUAGAUAUUCGGAAGAACACCAGUGGCGAAGGCGACUGACUGGACAAGUAUUGACGCUGAGGCGCGAAAGCGUGGGGAGCAAACAGG
rnacentral:rRNA from 1 species